rnacentral:rRNA from 1 species
CCUACGGGUGGCAGCAGUGAGGAAUAUUGGUCAAUGGGCGUAAGCCUGAACCAGCCAAGUCGCGUGAGGGAUGAAGGUUCUAUGGAUCGUAAACCUCUUUUAUAAGGGAAUAAAGUGUGGGACGUGUCCUGUUUUGUAUGUACCUUAUGAAUAAGGAUCGGCUAACUCCGUGCCAGCAGCCGCGGUAAUACGUAGGUGGCAAGCGUUGUCCGGAUUUACUGGGUGUAAAGGGCGUGCAGCCGGGAAGACAAGUCAGAUGUGAAAUCCCGCGGCUCAACCGCGGAACUGCAGUUGAAACUGUUGUUCUUGAGUGCCGGAGAGGUCAUCGGAAUUCCUGGUGUAGCGGUGAAAUGCGUAGAUAUAAGGAAGAACACCAGUGGCGAAGGCGGAUGACUGGACGGCAACUGACGGUGAGGCGCGAAAGCGUGGGGAGCAAACAGGAUUAGAUACCCCUGUAGUC